AGAUUGAACGCUGGCGGCAUGCCUUACACAUGCAAGUCGAACGGCAGCACGGGAGCAAUCCUGGUGGCGAGUGGCGAACGGGUGAGUAAUACAUCGGAACGUGCCCAAUCGUGGGGGAUAACGCAGCGAAAGCUGUGCUAAUACCGCAUAAGAUCUACGGAUGAAAGCAGGGGAUCGCAAGACCUUGCGCGAAUGGAGCGUCGCCGAGUGGC
rnacentral:rRNA from 1 species